rnacentral:rRNA from 1 species
GCCGCGGUAAAACCAGCACCUCAAGUGGUCAGGAGGAUUAUUGGGCCUAAAGCAUCCGUAGCCGGCUCUGUAAGUUUUCGGUUAAAUCCAUGUGCUCAACGCAUGGGCUGCCGAAAAUACUGCAUAGCUAGGGAGUGGGAGAGGUAGACGGUACUCAGUAGGAAGGGGUAAAAUCCUUUGAUCUAUUGAUGACCACCUGUGGCGAAGGCGGUCUACCAGAACACGUUCGACGGUGAGGGAUGAAAGCUGGGGGAGCAAACCGGAUUAGAUACCCGGGUAGUCCCAGCUGUAAACGAUGCAGACUCGAUGAUGCAUUGGCAUAUAGCCAGUGCAGUGUCGCAGGGAAGCCGUUAAGUCUGCCGCCUGGGAAGUACGUACGCAAGUAUGAAACUUAAAGGAAUUGGCGGGGGAGCA